rnacentral:rRNA from 1 species
UACGUAGGGGGCGAGCGUUGUCCGGAUUUAUUGGGCGUAAAGAGCGUGUAGGCGCCAGGUAGGUCUGCUGUGAAAACUCGAGGCUCAACCUCGAGACGUCGGAGUGAAACCAUCUGGCUAGAGUCCGGAAGAGGAGAGUGGAAUUCCUGGUGUAGCGGUGAAAUGCGCAGAUAUCAGGAAGAACACCCGGUGGCGAAGGCGGUCU